UAUAGGCCUAAUAUUCAUGAAACUAUGCUGCAUGCAAAAACCCAAACAUUGUAUUAAGCAUGACCUAUCUAACUGUAAUGCUUGCACCAAUUUCUAUAAAGGUACUAAUUUAAUUGUUAAAUUCCUGCUCUUCUAUCAAAUUUUUGGCUGAGUGCUAUGGCUAAAUAAUUGUUUGCAGCAUAAGUGAUGUUAAAGAUUUUAAUAGGUGUAAAGCAUCUCUCUCUCUCUCUCUCUCUCUCUCUCUCUCUCUCUCUCUCUCUCUCUCUCUCUCUCUCUCUCUCUCUCUCUCUCUCUCUCUCUCUCUCUCUCUCUCUCUCUCUCUCUCUCUCUCUCUCUCUCUCUCUCUCUCUCUCUCUCUCUCGUAAGGAAAGACAUUAUUUCUAGUGUAAAUAAACCCAAUAGGCUGUCCAAUUUGAAAUUUAAAAUGUAAAUAUUAUCAAUCUUUUUAGAAAUAUUAGCUGCAUCCUCUUCCCUUGCAGUCCAAUAAGACAGGUCACUAAUUCGUGUGGAGAUAGAAUUCUUGGAGUCACCUUUGCCGGCACUAGCGCAAGUGCAUACAGUCUGAUAAAGGUUUCUUCCAUGGUUGUGAUGAAGUUCAGGACUUCUCACACUGUUUCGAUAGAUAUGAUGAGAAGAAUCGGGAGUUCGGAACAUCAGUGCAUUAUGUCGGGGCAUGUAGGUUCGGCUGGGGUUUUCUUUCUUUCUUUCUUUUUUUUUUUUUCGAUCACUACUCAUCAUAUUCUUACGAAGACUUGCUACACAAAGGAUUAUUGCAUUAUGAUAUUACCCAAAUAGUGUCUCAAGUAAAAAACAUAACCGCAUACUCGUACAAAAGAUUUGCUGCUGUGACACAAAGGACAAAAAUCAUUAGUGUACUGGUCGUUCUAAGCAUUCAAUCAAAAUGCUUGUCAUUCAUAUAAUUAGUAGAACCAUCGAGGAGCUUUAUUUUUGUUAAUUCUUAUGUGAUAAAGCAAUAAUUACAGGAGACUUUUAAAAGAUUGGUACUUAAAUUAGUGGACUGUCCUAUUGGAUGUGACCAUAUCUUCACUUUUUCCUUACACAGUUAAUUUUCUUUUGUUUAUUUGAUUUACUUAUUAUCAUUUUUAUUUAUAUAUUUAUUUAUUUGCACCAGAUGCUUGCUUAGUUAUAUUGGGGUUACUUCACCUGCUUGGAGAAAGGAAAGACUCCAUUUUUACUAAGGUACCAGAAGAAGAACUAAGAACAGGGCAGUCUAGUGUGUAUUUGAUGGUGCAUCUGUAGCUGAACCAACAUGUAUUUCUAUGGCUGUAGUCUCAUUGGUAGCAGGGCUUUGUGUUUAAUAUUGAACACCCAAAAAAUUGUGAA